rnacentral:rRNA from 1 species
CGUACGUGAAACCGUUCAGGGGUAAACGGGAGAAAUCCUGAAUUCGAAGGGGAUUGGAUUCAAUUUCGACCGGGUGUACAGGCCACCUGGCCCCGCCAGAUGUCGCUGGUCGCCCACGGCGAUUCAUUUCGCUUGUGGUGUCGUUCCCGGCGGUCACUCGGUGGGGUGGUGUUUGCUCUGACACCGGCGGAGUGCACUUCCUCCCUUGUAGAAACGUCGCGACCCGUUGGGUGCCGGUCUAAGGCCCGGGAUGGCAGACCACGUGUCCUGUGCGGUCACGCACAGGCGCGUGGACUUCUGGUGACCCGGCCGGCUGCUCGACGGUAUGACCAGAGGAGUCGAUCCGCUGAAUGGGAAACACUAUGGCUGUGUAGCGUCCGGCCCGGCGCUGACACGUGCGGGGAAUGCGGUGUAAACCUGGGGUGUCCGUGCAGAAGCACGGUCCCGGCCCUGCUGCGUUGUUGGAACUGUCGGUGUCCUCGGACCGGAUCGUAACUCCCGUCUGCGACGCCCACCUUCGGAUGG